UACGGAGGGUGAGAGCGUUCUCCGGAAUUACUGGGUUUAAAGGGUGUGUAGGCGGCUUGAUAAGUCAGGGGUGAAAGCCUAUUGCUUAACGAUAGAAUUGCCUUUGGUACUGUAAAGAUUGAAAGGGGUUGAGGUCAGCAGAAUGUGGCAAGUAGCGGUGAAAUGCAUAGAUAUGCCAUAGAACACCGAUUGCGAAGGCAGCUGCCUGGGCCUACUUUGAAGCUGAGGCGCGAAAGCGUGGCGAGCGAACAGG
rnacentral:rRNA from 1 species